rnacentral:rRNA from 1 species
GUGAAGCGGGAAGAGCUCAAAUUUGAAAUCUGGUAGCCUUCGGUUGCCCGAGUUGUAAUCUAGAGAAGUGUUUUCCGUGCCGGCCCAUGUACAAGUCCCUUGGAACAGGGCGUCAUAGAGGGUGAGAAUCCCGUCCUUGACAUGGACCCCCGGUGCUUUGUGAUACACUUUCAACGAGUCGAGUUGUUUGGGAAUGCAGCUCAAAAUGGGUGGUGAAUUCCAUCUAAAGCUAAAUAUUGGCGAGAGACCGAUAGCGAACAAGUACCGUGAGGGAAAGAUGAAAAGCACUUUGGAAAGAGAGUUAAACAGUACGUGAAAUUGUUGAAAGGGAAACGAUUGAAGUCAGUCAUGCUCUUGGGACUUACCUCCCUUGAGUGGGGUCAACAUCAGUUUUGAUCGAUGGAUAAAGGCACGGGGAAGGUAGCACUCUCGGGUGAACUUAUAGCCUCGCGUCAUAUACAUUGAUUGGGACUGAGGAACGCAGCAUGCCUUAUGGCCGGGAUUCGUCCACGUACAUGCUUAGGAUGUUGACAUAAUGGCUUUAAACGACCCGU